AGAGUUUGAUCCUGGCUCAGAUUGAACGCUGGCGGCAGGCUUAACACAUGCAAGUCGAGCGGAGAGAGGUAGCUUGCUACUGAUCUUAACGGCGGACGGGUGAGUAAUGCUUAGGAAUCUGCCUAUUAGUGGGGGACAACAUCUCGAAAGGGAUGCUAAUACCGCAUACGUCCUACGGGAGAAAGCAGGGGAUCUUCGGACCUUGCGCUAAUAGAUGAGCCUAAGUCGGAUUAGCUAGUUGGUGGGGUAAAGGCCUACCAAGGCGACGAUCUGUAGCGGGUCUGAGAGGAUGAUCCGCCACACUGGGACUGAGACACGGCCCAAACUCCUACGGGAGGCAGCAGUGGGGAAUAUUGGACAAUGGGGGGAACCCUGAUCCAGCCAUGCCGCGUGUGUGAAGAAGGCCUUAUGGUUGUAAAGCACUUUAAGCGAGGAGGAGGCUACUUUAGUUAAUACCUAGAGAUAGUGGACGUUACUCGCAGAAUAAGCACCGGCUAACUCUGUGCCAGCAGCCGCGGUAAUACAGAGGGUGCAAGCGUUAAUCGGAUUUACUGGGCGUAAAGCGCGCGUAGGCGGCUAAUUAAGUCAAAUGUGAAAUCCCCGAGCUUAACUUGGGAAUUGCAUUCGAUACUGGUUAGCUAGAGUGUGGGAGAGGAUGGUAGAAUUCCAGGUGUAGCGGUGAAAUGCGUAGAGAUCUGGAGGAAUACCGAUGGCGAAGGCAGCCAUCUGGCCUAACACUGACGCUGAGGUGCGAAAGCAUGGGGAGCAAACAGGAUUAGAUACCCUGGUAGUCCAUGCCGUAAACGAUGUCUACUAGCCGUUGGGGCCUUUGAGGCUUUAGUGGCGCAGCUAACGCGAUAAGUAGACCGCCUGGGGAGUACGGUCGCAAGACUAAAACUCAAAUGAAUUGACGGGGGCCCGCACAAGCGGUGGAGCAUGUGGUUUAAUUCGAUGCAACGCGAAGAACCUUACCUGGCCUUGACAUAGUAAGAACUUUCCAGAGAUGGAUUGGUGCCUUCGGGAACUUACAUACAGGUGCUGCAUGGCUGUCGUCAGCUCGUGUCGUGAGAUGUUGGGUUAAGUCCCGCAACGAGCGCAACCCUUUUCCUUAUUUGCCAGCGAGUAAUGUCGGGAACUUUAAGGAUACUGCCAGUGACAAACUGGAGGAAGGCGGGGACGACGUCAAGUCAACAUGGCCCUUACGGCCAGGGCUACACACGUGCUACAAUGGUCGGUACAAAGGGUUGCUACACAGCGAUGUGAUGCUAAUCUCAAAAAGCCGAUCGUAGUCCGGAUUGGAGUCUGCAACUCGACUCCAUGAAGUCGGAAUCGCUAGUAAUCGCGGAUCAGAAUGCCGCGGUGAAUACGUUCCCGGGCCUUGUACACACCGCCCGUCACACCAUGGGAGUUUGUUGCACCAGAAGUAGCUAGCCUAACUGCAAAGAGGGCGGUUACCACGGUGUGGCCGAUGACUGGGGUGAAGUCGUAACAAGGUAGCCGUAGGGGAACCUGCGGCUUGGAUCACCUCCUUA
rnacentral:rRNA from 1 species